CUAACCCAAGGGACCCAAACUUCGUUAUACUUUUCUCUAGAUAUCUUGUUUAAGGCUAUCCCGGCUUCCAUGCUACGUUGGUAAUCUAUCUGCGUACAAAUAUCGUGCCAAUUUAACACACCCAUUUUUCUCCAAUUUCUAGCCAUAACUAUUUUUAUAGCCAUACAAAUGUGGAUCAUAAGGAUUUUUAGUUUUAUAUUACUUUUUGGCAGGUCUAAAUGAAACAAAAACAUUUGAGGCGUAAUCACAGUCUGAAUUUCAAACACAAAAUCCAUCAAUUCCGCUAAAAUUAAUUUCAUAGGUUUCAACUCCUCACAGUCCCACCAGAUGUGGGAGAAUGAGCCUAACUCCCUACCACAUCUCCAACAAUCUGGUAGAAGUGUGGGUUGAAAUCUAUGAAGGCGGGUAGGGACCAAAUACCAACGGUAUACUAAUUUAAAGUAUACUUCCUGUAUAUUCACCCCAUGUGUAUAUCUUUUUACUGCUUGUAAACCCAAUAACCAAUCCUCGACCGAAGAUGAAAAAUGAAGUUCUUGCUCCCAUUUACUCAUUGCUGGCACUUUAUCUAUUUGCCUUUGACUUCUUAAAAAUUGAUUAAAUCUAGAUACGAUCUUUUUUUUAUAAUGGGAUUCUAUGAACUGGUCUAUUGGAGAAGUUUCCGAAAGAACUUUUCCCAUAGUAAAAGAUUUUAUUCUUAAAUAGUUAAAUAUUUCCUUCGAAGGAAGGUUAUAUUUAGACUGAAAUAUGGGGAAUGGCAAUAUUUUAUUAUUAUUUAAAAGAUCUGCUAUUCUUACUAUUCCACAGUGUACCCAUUCUUGGAUAUUUAUAUCCUUUAUGUAAUAUUUUAAGCUUAUUAAUGGGGCAUUUGAUGAAAUAUAUUUUGUACCAUAUUUUUUUUUCAAGUACUUAACAAUGUAAAUCAUUGUAUUAUUCAUCGGAUUACUAGAUCUUAUGUUUUUUAGAGAUUCACUGUCGCACCACCAGAGAAAUAAAGGUUC